rnacentral:rRNA from 1 species
AUUGAACGCUAGCGGGAUGCUUUACACAUGCAAGUCGAACGGCAGCGCGGACUUCGGUCUGGCGGCGAGUGGCGAACGGGUGAGUAAUGUAUCGGAACGUGCCCAGUAGCGGGGGAUAACUACGCGAAAGCGUAGCUAAUACCGCAUACGCCCUACGGGGGAAAGCAGGGGAUCGUAAGACCUUGCACUAUUGGAGCGGCCGAUAUCGGAUUAGCUAGUUGGUGAGGUAACGGCUCACCAAGGCGACGAUCCGUAGCUGGUUUGAGAGGACAACCAGCCACACUGGGACUGAGACACGGCCCAGACUCCUACGGGAGGCAGCAGUGGGGAAUUUUGGACAAUGGGGGCAACCCUGAUCCAGCCAUCCCGCGUGUGCGAUGAAGGCCUUCGGGUUGUAAAGCACUUUUGGCAGGAAAGAAACGUCGCGGGCUAAUACCCCGUGGAACUGACGGUACCUGCAGAAUAAGCACCGGCUAACUACGUG